UCACUUACCUGGACGGGGUCAAUGGGCGAUCAAUAAGGCCCAUGGCCUAGGUUGGUGGCCUCCAUUGCACAUACCGGAGGGGUGCCUGCCUAACGUCUCCCCAAGUGGGAGAGCGUACGUCAUAAUUUGUGAUAGUGGGGGCCUGCGUCCGCGCGGCCCCUGU
rfam:Spinacia oleracea cultivar SynViroflay scaffold33229.con0001.1, whole genome shotgun sequence.